AGCGGCAGCAGCUCGGCGUGAAGCCUUUAUUGUCACAAAAUGGAGCAGCAAGUACAAAAAAAACCAAACAAAAAUCAGGUUGAGGGUGAGAUGAGUCCUGUUGAUAAAAACAAAAGAAGCUCUGAGAGCGCAACGUAAAGUCACCUCCCACUCACUGUCCUCCUCCACGCCUCAGCUCAAAUGUAGGUCCGUGAAAAGGCGUCUAUACGGCGGGCGAUGGAGGAGGAGCGCCGGCCCGUUAGUGAGACGGUUCAGCGCCAACGCAGACGAAGAGACGGGCGAUAAGAGACACAGAUAGCGCUCUAUGGCAUGAAUGAUAAGGAGUCACCACUCGUGCGUCCCAUCAGGGGAAGGAAAAAACAACACACAGAAGAAAAAAAAGAGCAACAAAAAAACCCAAAUGAAGGCGAGCCUUAUCACCAGCCAUCUGACACUUAAUGCAACUCCAUUUUGAAGUAAUAUGUGCUUCAUCGCGGCCCUAAUGGAUUUGAGAUUUCAGGGGGACUUUGUUUUUUUUGGUUUUUCUUUUGGGAGUUUAUUGAUUCAUCUCGGACACGUUGUCGUCCCUCAGAAGGAUAUUGUCAGGCCCGGGUUCCCCCUGAAAUGUGCGCAGAUGCAGCCGAUACGGAUAUUGCGAAUGUUUUUUUUUUUUUGCUUGUUUUUAACGCUUCGAAGAAGGAAAAAAAAAAAAGAAGAAGAAGAAUCAAGAUUAGCUUCCUCGUAAAACGCCUCUGGUACGUGUUUUUGCAUGCGUAUUCUGCAUCCGCGUGUGUGACCUCUGGACAAUUAUCUGAUCUCGCUCGAGUUCUUGUUGCGCAAUUUAUAUAUUUUUUUUUUGCUAAAGAUCAAGAUCUGGGUGUGUUUGUUCUUUUCGCAGAAGAAUUCGAGCGGCACACACACACACACCAAAAAAAUCCCCGUGCAAAAAGAAAGAAGGAAGAAAGACAGAAAGACAGAAAGAAGUCAGCGGGGUCAUUAAAAACAGGAAAAUAAUUCAAAGAAAAAGCUAUCGCGCUGGUUUGAGGUGGUUUUCUGGAGUUUUGCGGCCUCUUUACGCCAAAACCGUCACAGAAAAACUAAGA